CUGACAUCGCGUUCCGGAGACUAAGCCAGUAGAUUAAUGGAAAAGCAAACAAAAUGUCCACCCGAGGAUGGUUGAGGAAGUCCCGCCCUGGCGUUUUCCACACCAACGGUUCAGCUCCCAAUAUGGACUUAGCAAAUUCUACAAAACCAGACAGAUGAGGUGGAUUAACAAACUAUGGUGUAUACAGACAAUGGAGUACUACUUAGCAGUAUAAAGAAUAAAGCAUUACUACACAAAACAAGGUGAAUCAAGGCUUGAGCAUAAGACUGUGUUUGGACAAUAACAGGACGUAGAGCUGCUUACCUGUUGUGGAGCCGAACUGCUCUUCUGAAAUAUUAGGCUCCUUCCUCCUUGAUGAAAUGGUUAUAUUUUCCCAUCCUAUGGCCUCAUCUCCCUGUCUACUUUUCCUUAUACGGAUAGUUGAGAUGGAAAGUUAGUUUGGGCUCUCUAGAUGAGGUGGCCAGACUUCAAGUGUCUAAGGACCAGAUGGCCAUCUCCAUGGAAGUCUAGAGUUGCUGGGUGGUGACUCAUGCCAUUAAGCUCUAAACUUGGGGAGGGCAGGAGAUGUCAUCAAAAUUUAUUUAGCUGGUUACAGCCCUCAGUCUUCACUCAUUCCCUGCAGCUGCUCAUGUGUUGAGCACCUAUGAUAAGACCCUGAGGUGCAUCUGCUUCUCAUGCCACCUUGGGUAGGUUAGGCUUUCCAAACACUGAGGAAUGUGCUUGCCAGCCCUAAAGGACAUAUGGCCAAAGGCAGAGUCUUGGACUCAAACUCUGAUGUUCUCAUUCCUUAUAAACAUAUAAAUAUUCCUAAAGGUUGGAAAUAAAAAUGGAUUCCAGAAGUUAGAGAGAAAAUAUAUAGACCCAGCAUGUGUUGCUAUU